GAUGAAGAACGUAGCGAAAUGCGAUAAGUAAUGUGAAUUGCAGAAUUCAGUGAAUCAUCGAAUCUUUGAACGCACCUUGCACCCUUUGGUAUUCCGAAGGGUAUGCUCGUUUGAGUGUCAUUGUACUCUCACACUUCUAAUUCCUUUCGGGAUUGGGAGCGGUGGACUUGGGUGUUGCUGCUUUAGUUGUGGCUCACCUCAAAUAAGUUAGUGCAACUCUUGGUUGGACAUAGUACGGCGUGAUAAGUGUCUUCGCCGGCGCCUCUGUAAGGAGGGUGGCCGAUCGGGAGCUCUGUGCUUCAAACCGUCUUCGGACAAUCUUUGACAACUUGACCUCAAAUCGAGUAGGACUACCCGCUGAACUUAAGCAUAUCAAUAAGCGGAGG
rnacentral:misc_RNA from 1 species